rnacentral:rRNA from 1 species
UACGAAGGGGGCGAGCGUUGUUCGGAAUUACUGGGCGUAAAGCGUGCGCAGGCGGCUUCUCAAGUCAGGGGUGAAAGCCCAGAGCUCAACUCUGGAAUUGCCUUUGAGACUGAGUGGCUUGAGUACGAGAGAGGUGAGUGGAAUUCCCAGUGUAGAGGUGAAAUUCGUAGAUAUUCGCAAGAACACCAGUGGCGAAGGCGGCUCACUGGCCCGAUACUGACGCUGAGGCACGAAAGCGUGGGGAGCAAACAGG